rnacentral:snRNA from 1 species
AUCGCUUCUCGGCCUUUUGGCUAAGAUCAAGUGUAGUAGCUGUUCUUAUCAGUUUAAUAUCUGAUACGCCCCCGAUUUGGGGGCAACGUAUUAAACGCAUUUUAGAACAGGGAGCCGAAUAAGGGGCUCGCUCCGUUCGCUCCACGCAUCGACCCGGUAUUGCAGCGCCUCCGGGAACGGUGCCCCCUUU